AUGCCAGUCGAACGGUAGCACAGAGAGCUUGCUCUCGGGUGACGAGUGGCGGACGGGUGAGUAAUGUCUGGGAAACUGCCUGAUGGAGGGGGAUAACUACUGGAAACGGUAGCUAAUACCGCAUAACGUCGCAAGACCAAAGAGGGGGACCUUCGGGCCUCUUGCCAUCAGAUGUGCCCAGAUGGGAUUAGCUAGUAGGUGGGGUAAUGGCUCACCUAGGCGACGAUCCCUAGCUGGUCUGAGAGGAUGACCAGCCACACUGGAACUGAGACACGGUCCAGACUCCUACGGGAGGCAGCAGUGGGGAAUAUUGCACAAUGGGCGCAAGCCUGAUGCAGCCAUGCCGCGUGUGUGAAGAAAGCCUUCGGGUUGUAAAGCCACUUUCAGCGGGGAAGAAGGCGGUGAGGUUAAUAACUUCACCGAUUGACGUUACCCGCAGAA
rnacentral:rRNA from 1 species